GCAACCAUGGUCUAACGGUCAGGAUUGCUGCCUUCCAAGCAGCAGGUUCGGGUUCGACUCCCGAUGGUUGCA